UACGGAAGGCAGCAGUGGGGAAUAUUGCACAAUGGGCGAAAGCCUGAUGCAGCUAUGCCGCGUGUAUGAAGAAGGCCUUAGGGUUGUAAAGUACUUUCAUCGGGGAGGAAAAACAAAACUAAUAAUUUUAUUUCUUGACGUUACCCGAAAAAGGAGCACCGGCUAACUCCGUGCCAGCAGCCGCGGUAAUACGGAGGGUGCUAGCGUUAAUCAGAAUUACUGGGCGUAAAGAGCACGUAGGUGGUUUUUUUAAAGUCAGAUGUGAAAUCCCUGGGCUUAACCUAGGAACUGCAUUUUGAAACUGAAAUACUAGAGUAUCGUAGAGGGAGGUAGAAUUCUAGGUGUAGCGGUGAAAUGCGUAGAUAUCUGGAGGAAUACCUGUGGCGAAAGCGGCCUCCUAAACGAAUACUGACACUGAGGUGCGAAAGCGUGGGGAGCGAAACAGGGAUUAGAUACC
rnacentral:rRNA from 1 species